rnacentral:rRNA from 1 species
UACGGGGGGGGCAAGCGUUGUUCGGAAUUACUGGGCGUAAAGGGCUCGUAGGUGGCCAACUAAGUCGGACGUGAAAUCCCUCAGCUUAACUGGGGAACUGCGUCCGAUACUGGAUGGCUUGAGUUUGGGAGAGGGAUGCGGAAUUCCAGGUGUAGCGGUGAAAUGCGUAGAUAUCUGGAGGAACACCGGUGGCGAAGGCGGCAUCCUGGACCGGCAUUGACGCUGAUGAGCGAAAGCUAGGGGAGCAAACGGG